CAGACGACCCUCGGGCAGCUCGGGAGGCUCAUGACGCAGUAAGCUGGCUGACUCCAGCAGGAUCUUGCGGGACUCCUAGAGAAACAGAAGAAUAAUUACAUACAUACAUACAUACGAUUUCAGGUGUCACUCACCAUGACAUAUCCCAGCAAAGCCGCGGGUCCCUCUUCGAGGGAGCGUCGGCGACCAGUUUCUGCGAUUGCUGCAUGUAACUCAAACAGAAGGGAGCCCCGCACUCGGGUCUCAGCUGGAAAAUAAUACAUACAUACAUACAUAUGGUCACGUCUAUAUCCCUUGCGGGGUAGACAGAGCCAACAGUCUUGAAAAGACUGAAUGGCCACGUACAGCUAUUUGGCUUAACGAUAGAAUUGAGAUUCAACUAGUGACAGGUUGCUAGCCCAUCGCCUAAAAAAGACUCCCAAGUAUGUAAGCCUAUCCCUUAGUCGCCUUUUACGACAUCUUUCUUUUUUGUAUUGGUGCCGGGAGCCACACGGCAAAGUAAUGUUGGAAAAUAAUAACAUUAUCUUUUGUCAUCCUUAUGAUUGGAAUUCCCUCAACAUCUUGGGGAAUUUCAAGGCAAGGGUGAGUCAGAUAUUAUUUGAGUUUGCGUGCAAUACUUUAGAACUCAUCUUGCUUACCACAUGGCAGAUUUAAGUCAAACGUACUCAAAUGUAUUAUAAAAAAACACAUUAUCUAAAUUUUUAAAUUAAAAUUUCGAGGGAUGAAACUUGGAGCGUGGCUGCAUAUGUGAUUUGUAUGUUGUAAUUAACAAAUUAGCUUAGUGGCUACUUCUUCUUCUUCUUAAAUUCACGAGAGUCCUUUAUUCACAAUUGGUUGUGCAAAAAUAAGCUCAUGCUUGUCUAUGAAGAAGUAAAGAUGCCCAAACCAAAUUUAUUAUUGAGCCAGGAAUUAUCAGAUUAUCGUAAAUUUCAGAAACUGGUAUCAAUAUACCAGUUUCUGAAAUUUAAAUAGAGAUAUCUAGAUUAAGUUAUAGGCCCAAGCUUAUUUCACGGCACCACAAAUUGGUAGUUAGGUAUUUAGAGUGUCAGUUUACCAGGGGCUAAUGUCUCUAGCAAGUCUGCGAUCUUCCUGCAAAGCUGGGUCUUCAGCAUCAGUCUGUCAUCCGUCACCUUAGCCAAUCCUAGUUCAGUCUCCUGGCCGAUCAUCUGCGCCAGCGCCAGGCUCACGUCCGUCAUGUAGUAAUGUUGUGGGUGAAGAUAGCUACUGCAGUGCUCGAUGAAUCUAAAGAGCGCUGUAGUUGGUGCCAAAUUCAGUGGUGUCAGAGCAGCGCUGGCAGCGGCACUCGAAGAACUUGGAGUCUGCCAGGUGGUGACGGCG